GCGCCCGUAGCUCAGCGGAUAGAGUACCUGCCUCCGGAGCAGGGAGUCGCAAGUUCAAGUCUUGCCGGGCGCG
rnacentral:tRNA from 1 species